AUUGAACGCUGGCGGCAGGCUUAACACAUGCAAGUCGAGCGAGCGGCGGACGGGGGAGUAAUGUCUGGGAAACUGCAUGAUGGAGGGGGAGAACAACAGGAGACGGUAGCUAAUAUCCCAUACCAUCAGAGGUGCGCAGAUGGGAUUAGCUAGUAGGUGGGGUAAUGGCUCACCCAGGCGACGAUCCCUAGCUGGUCUGUGAGGAUGACCAGCCACACUGGAACUGAGACACGGUCCAGACGCCUACGGGAGGCAGCAGUGGGGAAUUUUGCACAAUGGGCGCAAGCCUGAUCCAGCCAUGCCGCGUGUGUGAAGAAGGCCUUCGGGUUGUAAAGCACUUUCGGCGGGGAGGCGUUACCCGCAGAAGAAGCACCGGCUAACUCCGUGCCAGCAGCCGCGGUAAUAC
rnacentral:rRNA from 1 species